AUCGUUUCUCGGCCUUUUGACCAAGAUCCAGUGUAGUAUCUGUCCUUAUCCAUUUAAUAUCUGCUACAGCCUCUAUCCAAGUGCUCCAGGGAGUUACAUUCCAGACAGAAACAUGUCUGUAGGUUUU
ensembl:snRNA U2 U2 spliceosomal RNA